rnacentral:rRNA from 1 species
AGCGAGGUAGCAAUACCUAGCGGCAGACGGGUGAGUAACAUGUGGGAAUCUGCCUUUUGGUUCGGAAUAACACGAGGAAACUUGUGCUAAUACCGGAUAAGUCUUUACGGAGAAAGCUUUAUGCACCAUUGGAUGAGCCUGCACUUGAUUAGUUAGUUGGUAGGGUAAUGGCUCACCAAGACUACAAUCAAUAGCUGAUUUGAGAGGAUGAUCAGCCACACUGGGACUGAGAUACGGCCCAGACUCC